CCCUUAGAUGUUCUGGGCCGCACGCGCGCUACACUGACGAAUGCAACGAGCUUAUAACCUUGGCCGAAAGGUCUGGGUAAUCUCCAAAUUUCGUCGUGAUGGGGAUAGAUUAUUGCAAUUAUUAAUCUUCAACGAGGAAUACCUAGUAAGCGCAAGUCAUCAGCUUGCGUUGAUUACGUCCCUGCCCUUUGUACACACCGCCCGUCGCUCCUACCGAUUGAAUGGUCCGGUGAAGCGUUCGGACCGUGGCCUUUGGACGGUUCGCCGUCUGUUGGCUGCGGGAAGUUCGUUAAACCUUAUCAUUUAGAGGAAGGAGAAGUCGUANCA
rnacentral:rRNA from 1 species